CUAAUGCAAUCAUCCUAUUGCAUAAUCAUGAUGCAUGAAACAUGAUAAAACAUUUAAUUUCUCAAUUUAAAAGAUUAAGUUUAGUUCCACUCACCUCUGGCUGACUCUGACAACACCGAAGCAGCUGAACUCACUGCUGGGGUCCUCGGUUCCUCGGGUCCGAACCUACACAGGUGGACUCAAAUGAGGGACCAAACAUACUAGAACAUAACUAUAAACUACUCCCCAAAAACCCCC
rnacentral:lncRNA from 1 species